AUACUGAGGGUGCAAGCGUUAAUCGGAAUUACUGGGCGUAAAGCGAGUGUAGGCGGCUAUGUAAGUCGGAUGUGAAAGCCCUGGGCUCAACCUGGGAAUGCCAUUCGAAACUGCGUAGCUAGAGUCUAAGAGAGGGAAGUGGAAUUCCAGGUGUAGCGGUGAAAUGCGUAGAGAUCUGGAGGAACAUCAGUGGCGAAGGCGGCUUCCUGGCUUAAGACUGACGCUGAGGCUCGAAAGCGUGGGGAGCAAACAGGAUUAGAUACCCCAGUAGUCC
rnacentral:rRNA from 1 species